rfam:Ictidomys tridecemlineatus contig009329, whole genome shotgun sequence.
GGGGAUAUAGCUCAGCUGGUAGAGUGCUUACCUUGCAAGCCCAUGGCCCUGGGUUCUAAUUCCCAGUACCACCA